rnacentral:rRNA from 1 species
AUUGAACGCUGGCGGCAGGCCUAACACAUGCAAGUCGAACGGUAGCACAGAGAGCUUGCUCUCGGGUGACGAGUGGCGGACGGGUGAGUAAUGUCUGGGAAACUGCCCGAUGGAGGGGGAUAACUACUGGAAACGGUAGCUAAUACCGCAUAACGUCGCAAGACCAAAGUGGGGGACCUUCGGGCCUCACACCAUCGGAUGUGCCCAGAUGGGAUUAGCUAGUAGGUGGGGUAAUGGCUCACCUAGGCGACGAUCCCUAGCUGGUCUGAGAGGAUGACCAGCCAUACUGGAACUGAGACACGGUCCAGACUCCUACGGGAGGCAGCAGUGGGGAAUAUUGCACAAUGGGCGUAAGCCUGAUGCAGCCAUGCCGCGUGUAUGAAGAAGGCCUUCGGGUUGUAAAGUACUUUCAGCGGGGAGGAAGGCGGUGAAGUUAAUAGCUUCACCGAUUGACGUUACCCGCAGAAGAAGCACCGGCUAACUCCGUGCCAGCAGCCGCCGUAA